rnacentral:rRNA from 1 species
AUGGACCAUGAGAUUCCAUACAAUAGGUCCUAUGCGUGGGACUCGGAGGAUGAAGGCCCAGAUGAAGAAAUAGAUGAGGAUGGUUUGACGGCUAAAGAAGCCAAUGCUUUCAAGAACGUAAUAGGCCGUAGUCACAAGACAUCAUUGUUUCGUGAUCUAAGCCUAGCCGAUAAGGCGAUUGUUGAUGGUGGCACAAGUAAAAUUCUUGCACCAAGGUUAACUUCAAAGCGAGAUACCAAAGCAAGUGUGUAUGGUGUUAGUGAAGGAACAAUCUUUGAAAGCUUGACAGAACUUCAAAUAUGGGCCAAGGACUACGCGGUUAAGUUUCAUCGGCCAUUCAUUGUGGAGAAGUCAAACUCGAAAGUGCGUUAUGUGGUCAAAUGUGAGGAACACAAGAAUCAUUGCCCUUGGGUUAUCCGUGCAAGAUGUGUCAAAGGCGGGCCACAAUGGAAGAUUACAAGUUUCGUGUUUCACCAUCGAUGUAGUGGCAAGGAUAUUGAUGAUGCUAAUGUAAAGGAUGAUCACCGUCAACUGACCUCCAAAUUCAUUGCAUAUCGAUUUUUACCCUCCAUAAAGAUACUCCCAACAUAUCCCAUUCGGGCUUUGAUGGAGAUGGUGAAGGAGGUUUUUGGGUACGAGGUGAAGUAUGGGAAGGCAUGGAAGGCCAAGCAAGCUGCCUUUGAGAUAUUGUAUGGUGGUUGGGAAGAAUCAUACAACCGCCUCGCGAUGGUGUUGAAAGCAAUUGGAUGGAAUACCAAGCAAGGAAGGCGGAUUCACACAAAAUCCAGUCCUUUGAUAACAUAG